CACCAACUUUUUCUUUAUCUUCUUGAAUUUAUUGUCACUAACUCAAUUAUAUUGGUGAUCUUUAGCUUCUUCAUCAACUUCCAAUAUUUGUUCUGAGCUAGUGGUUGACCUUGAUAUGAUAGAUGAUUUAUCAUAGACUUCAACUUCCAUUAUAUCUCCCUCAAUGUUUUGUCUAAAAAGGUCGCCACUGGCCUAUAUAGUUUCAGACACUGCCUGCUCAGGUUCUAUUGCAACAUCUUUCUUGUUCAAACUUUUAUCGUCAAUUUCAAGAUAUGAUUUUUUGAAUUUCUCAAUUGUAGAUACCAUAUAUUCAGUUGGAACAUCUUCAGUAUUAUUUUGCUUCUUAUCAGUGCCCUCCUUCUCAACACGAUGAACUGUAUUAUAACUGCUCUAAUCUCUUUCUAAAUUUAUAAAAGCCAAUGUAUUUAUUGCUCGACUCUAAGCUUCUAAGCAUCUUUUCCAGCCUUCUUCUUCUUCAAUAACAUUUUUAGUAUGGGCCAUGUUGCUUUCCGUAGCUCGACAAUAUCUUCUUAUGUGUCAUGAUUUACCAUUCUAAGAGGCUUUUUAAUAUAAUUGUUAAAAGUCUCUUUCUUCUUUCCAAGUGAGCUUGAACCACUUGAGAAUUGAGUAUAAGUUAUAUCUCUUACUUUUCUUUUAACGUUCCUCUUAUCAGCUAUAAGAGCAUUUUCUUUUCUUUCUUUGAUAAAUUCACCAGCCAAUUACUUGGCUAGUAACUCCUGUGACGAUAAUAAAUUCUUAAAUUCUCUAGGGAUGGUUGUUUAGCCCAUCCUUGGAUUGAUGUCACAAGGGGAAUGUAUUCUUGUUUCAAACCACGAAUGAUAAUUUUUCUCAUUCGUGCUUCAGAGAUAGCCUCAUUCGUAUUUAAUAAAGAAAUUUCAAAACAUAAGUUCUUAAUCUUUAAAAAGUACUCGGCAAUAGAAAGAUUACCUUGAGCGAUGUUCGUUAAUUUAUUCUCCUACAUUUGUAGCCGAGCUUCAUUCUUCUUAUUGAACAACUGGUCGAGGGUCCUCCAAAUUUCAUGAGCUAAUUUACACCUUAUAAUAUGAUCAAAUAAAAUAAAGAAGAUAAACCUCUUUAGAAUGAAAUCCACCUUCGCAUUAAUCUGCUUCCACUUCUUGUAUGCACUACUAUUCUUUGGUCCGUCGUCCGAGGAGUUGUGUUACUCCCGUUAACAACAUCCCACAAAUUCUCACUCACAAGGUAUAAUUCCAUAUAUAUCUUUCAUACCUCAUAAUUGGACUAAUUUAACAACUCUAUUCCCAGUCCAUUAACGCGACCGCUUAAAUUCAUUCGGACAAACCAGUUGAAUCGAUUAAAAAUUCAAUCUUGAAAUAAACACAAGUCAAUUUACCACUUUGGCUCUGAUACCAUGUAGAGAAUAGCAGAAGAAAGAUGUAAUUGGAGAGACCUUCUGCUAGCCCAAGAUCGUUAACCAAGGUCAGAAGAUUUAACAAAGGAGAGGAAGCUAUGAAAAUAGAAGCUUUGUUAUGAAAAACGACUUCUUGAAUUAGAUUCUUU
rnacentral:lncRNA from 1 species